rnacentral:rRNA from 1 species
UACGGAGGGUGCAAGCGUUGCUCGGAAUUGUUGGGCGUAAAGGGUAGGUAGGUGGUCUCAUUUGUCUGGGGUGAAAGCCUUGAGCUUAACUCAAGAAGUGCCCCGGAAACGGUGAGACUAGAGUCCUAGAGAGGGUCGUGGAAUUCCCGGUGUAGCGGUGAAAUGCGUAGAGAUCGGGAGGAACACCAGAGGCGAAGGCGGCGACCUGGAUAGGUACUGACACUCAACUACGAAAGCGUGGGGAGCAAACAGG